UCCGUCGGUUUUAGAAACAUAAAUAAGGCUUGUAAAAGUCAGUUCGGUGCGUUUUUACCUCAAUGUUAUUUGCAAUUUGAUGUGUUCUUGAAAGCUGGUUAUAGAGUUACCGAUUGAACUAUACGGCUUUGAAAUUUAUCUUAACUUGUUUAUAACACUUUGCACUUCCUUAAAAUGUGCAAUAACAGUUGUAUUUGGAGCAGAAAUAAUGAGAGCACAGUAAAAAUCACAGACAUUGGAAUAAUAUAGAAGUGGAAUAUAUAGAUGAACUAUAAAACAGCAAGUUAGCACGAUGAUAUCAAUUAAUUACAGUCAAAUUUUGUGACAAGAACAGGAACCUUCCGAGACACACAGACGGACGGUUAAUCUUAAUCACGGAACCAUCACUGCUUAAAUCCAUUCGAGAACCAUGUAUCCUCUCUUUUAUAAACUCACAGCCAAUUCAUUGUCCAUACUACUGGGGCACUGGUAUUAAUUAUAAGAAAAGGCAAUCGUCGUGUCGUAUCCAGAACUAAAACAACUCCAGGGACAAGAGCCUAGCUCGAUUAUUAUGUAUUUUAAUUAAACAGACAACGAAACAAGGGAGAUAAUAAAAUUUAAAUUACUUGGUAGUUGUUAUAAAUUAACCAAAUAAACCUUUGUAGAAUUACAUCAACUGUCUGUAAAAUAAAAACAUAAGUACCUUUUAUAACCGCGCGAACAUUCUCAAAGUGAAAUAAUUUCGCUUUCUUAGGGCUUAGGGCGAAUUUAUUUUUAUUACGGAGCAAAAUACAAACAAUUUUAAGGGUGAAUGUUAAGAGAGAUUAACGUUUUUGAUAACUUUGAACCCCGAGGGAUCGCCGCAGACAAAUUGCACAGUUUGGGGACAUACGGUCCGGGUUUUUGGGAGAUUUGCGGGAUAUGAUUUAAACAGACAAGCUGAUUUGUUGUAAAUUCAUCUUCUUCAUUACAUGAAGAAACCGAUGACAAAGAAAGCAGUAAAAAAAGAGACUCGUACAAAGGUGGACUAACCCCAGAAAGGGAUUUCUUCCAGUCAAAUUUAACGUAAAAAAUUAGGUAGCGUAGGUUAAAUGAGAAGAAAAACGUAUACUUAUACGAGACAUAUUAAGUCUGUCUGGGCAAUAUUUAUAACUAGUAUAGUAAUAUUUAUAACUUACGCAAUAGGCAAAAUAUUAUAUAAGUAGGGUACCUUACAAUUUUAACAUCGGUUUAUCACCAUGUUCGAAGAUAUCUAUAACUUAGUAUAACCACUAAAUUGUAUUCCGGAGACACAAAACGUUGGAAGAACAAAAGUUCCUUGAAUCCCUGAAUCGGAUCUUGACCUUGCGUUGCGGACAAGGACGCAGUUACGUAGAUAUCCGCGGUUCUAGUUAUGGCAUAUCUGUCUUAUACGUCUGUAGGUACUGUUGUUUCGUCGAAAUAAGAUUGAUUUAUGUACUAUUUUCAACCUUUCGAAAAAGGAGGUUCUCAGGUAGGUUUGUUUUGUUUUAUUUAUCAUGUUUCUAGCGGCCCGGCCCGGCUUCGCUCGGGUAAAACAUCAUAGAACACCUAAAACUUCCUCAGGAACCGCAAUAUAAGAAAAUAAAAUAUAUUAGGACAAAUUACACAGAUUGAGUUAGCCCCAAAGUAAGUUCUACUUUACGAUACUAUAUUUUAUAACAUAUACACAUACAGAGAUAAACAUCCAAGACCCGGGCCAAUCAGGAAAAUAUCAUUUUCCAUCAUGACCCGACCGGGGAUCGAACCAGGGACCUCUCGGUUCAGAGGCAAGCACUUUACUACUGCGGCAUCGAGGUUGUUUAAUCGCCAAUAUUAAAAUUGAAUAUUUAUGUCACUAGAUGGCGAUAUUUAGUUUUAGAACGCGCUAUCGUGUGUCGCUCAAGAAAUUAUAUAGUGUUUUGAAAUAUGUGAAGUUCUUUUGGCUUAACUUUUUGAUCAUUACACGGUUGUCACAAUUCUGAAGUUUAUAUUUCUGUUGGACCUCACGUGUAUUUUUGUCAAUCAGCCGAUUGUUCAGAGGUCGUCAAACCACUACUACUAUUUCGGUGGCGAAGUGGUAAAAUGCUUGCCUCUGAACCGAGAGUAUUUGUUAUAAUUUGUUAUCGUUGAGUUAGUACACAAGUCUCGAAUUGACUUUGGAGUUAGCUCAAUCUGUAUGAUUUGUCCUAUUAUAUAUCUAUUUAUUAAUUUAAAAACCCUGCAUUCGUUGCGUAUUUUUAAAGAUCGAAACAUUCAUAUGGACAGACAGCGGGAAGCGACUUUGUUUUAUUAUGUGUUAUAAAUUAUAGAUCUAUAUAUGGUUAUGUUAUAAAAUAUAGUAUCGUUGAGUUAGUAUCCCAUAAUACAAAUCUCGAACUUACUUUGGGGCUAGCUCAAUCUGUGUGAUUUGUCCUAAUAUAUAUAUAUUUUAUACUAGGUAUGUAGUGAUAGUGAAAUUGGGGUACCUAGUCACAUUUCUAAGAUUUAUUAAAAUAUCUUACGUUAAGUAUUGAUAAGUUCAGAGUAAGGGAUAAUUUCACCACUUUCUAAUUAAAUAUCUAUUAGAAUCGGUCAGCUUCCAAUAUAUAAUCUAACUACUAGAUAUUAAGUUAUUUUCUAGUUAUCGCUAUCCAACACUUAUGACAUACAAUUUUACGCUGAACGUAGCAUAUCAGUCUCUCUCUCAUCUGAGCGUUACGCGUACGAUGUGUUUACAGUACAGCAGUCUGUGUGUGUGUGUGUGUGUGUGUGUGUGUGUGUGUGUGUGUGUGUGUGUGUGUGUGUGUGUGUGUGUGUGUGUGUGUGUGUGUGUGUGUGUGUGUGUGUUUGUGUGUAUGUGUGUAUGUAUGUAUGUAUGUACGUAUGUACGUAUGUACGUAUGUACGUAUGUACGUAUGUACGUAUGUACGUAUGUACGUAUGUACGUAUGUACGUAUGUACGUAUGUACGUAUGUACGUAUGUACGUAUGUACUUAUGUACUUAUGUACGUAUGUACGUAUGUAACGCGAUAACUUUCGAACCGUUGCUCUGAUUUUGAUGAAAUUUAAAAUAUAUGUAGAAUAUGUCAAUAGAAUUUUUAAGUUCGUGGGGCAUUAAAAUCUGUUGAGUCGUUGUUGAAAUAUCACAAUUUUGUAAAAAAAUAAAAAAAUAUUGCGUUCGCGAGGUUUAAGUUCGCGUGAUCAACUAGUUACUAUAUCAUUCUGAUUCGACAGAGGUAAUAUUCAUUUCAGUUUGUUAACUUGAGCAUGCAAGCAGCAUUACUUUACUAAAUCCCCCUAUAAUCGAAUCACGUCAAAGCUGACCCCAAAUGAACCCUAAAUCAUGUUCAAC